GUCAAUCUUGCAUACUGGUAUGCUAAGCUACUUGCUAUGUAGCUCCUACACAGGGUCAGUGUUCGAUUCACUGAUUGACC